rnacentral:rRNA from 1 species
UACGUAGGCAGCAAGCGUUGUUCGGAGUUACUAGGCGUAAAGGGUGCGUAGGCGGCCUUAUAAGUAUGGUGUGAAAUCUCCCGGCUUAACUGGGAGGGUGCGCUAUAGACUGUGGGGCUAGAGUGUGGGAGAGGAAAGUGGAAUUCCUGGUGUAGCGGUGAAAUGCGUAGAUAUCAGGAGGAACACCUGUGGCGAAAGCGGCUCACUGGACCAUAACUGACGCUGAUGCACGAAAGCUAGGGGAGCAAACAGG